rnacentral:lncRNA from 1 species
GGCAGCGGGAAAUUUGCCCUUCCUGGAGUCUCAUCUUGGACCUAGAGUGAAGACACAAGACUUCAGUAUUUUAGAGUUCAACAGCUCUUAGGGAUAUUGGAUCUGUUCAAAGCAGUGUGUGUCCCCAGGCAGGAAGUGACAUAGCAAGGAGACUCAUAUUUAAGGAAGGACAAGCAGGAAGUGGUCUUCCUCUUCCUCCAGCUCUUCCUCCAGUGGCGGGAUGUGAUCCACCAGCAAGGGAGGAAGCCGAUGGAAGGCGUCUGAUAAGAUAAGUCUUAUAAAAUAUAUAGAUUUAUGAUAAUUUUAAGACUGAGCUAACAUAUGAGAAUCCUAGUCAUUGGCUAAGCAGUAUUUGUACCUAAUACAAGUCUCUGUGCAUUAAUUUGGGCCCUGUCAGAGACCGCCCACGUGGCUGUAGGGCUCAGGCAGCUUUUGGUGGAAAGAUUUAUUGUAACGCGCGCACGCGUGUUUGUGUGUGUGUGUGUGUGUGUGUGUGUGUGUCUGUCUGUCUGUCUGUCUGUCUGUCUGUCUGUCUGUAAGUCAGAGGACAACUUGCAAGAGUCACUUCCCUCCUUCUACCAUGUAGGUUCUGGAAGUCAAACCCAGAACUUCAGGCUUGGUGACAGAUGCCUUUACCCAUCAAGCUAUCUCAACGGCACUGUUAAUGUGCAUUCUUUACAUUCAAAUUUAGUUUUCUACAGAGAUGUCUGUUUAAGUUUGACUUCUCCAAUGAAAAUCAAAAGGUGGGACAGCAAGUAAGAGAAUAAUGCAGGAAGAGGCUGCUAAAGUAUACAGGAAACCAAGCUUAGUGAAAGUCUUCUGAGGAUAGAGUUAUUGCCUAUGUCAGUAAGUGGAACCUGGUUACUGCUGAACCAGGAGAAGUAGAAGACAUGACUUUGGAACGUGGCAUUGCGGCUGUAGAAACUAGCUGAGUCCAGGCCACAGUCCCAGGAAGUAAGCAAGAAUAUCCAUCAGUUUGUGCAAGCAACCAAGCCCCUGACAAAGUAACCCUGUAUCCUGACAGAUUGCUACCUGUAGGCUGCAGAAUCCAACUCAAACCGGCUCAAGAAAAUUCUUCCAGGAA